GACGAACGCUGGCGGCGUGCCUAACACAUGCAAGUCGAACGAGUCCUGGCUUUCGGGCCAGAGGCGAGUGGCGGACGGGUGAGUAACACGUGAGCAAUCUGUCCCUGUGUGGGGGACAACCCGGGGAAACCCGGGCUAAUACCGCAUGGGCAGGACUUUCGAAAGGAAGACCUGGGAAAGAGGCCCUCUUUACAAUGGUC
rnacentral:rRNA from 1 species